rfam:Schistosoma curassoni strain Dakar, Senegal genome assembly, scaffold: SCTD_scaffold0004585
AUCCAGCUGACGAGUCCGCAAAUAGGAUGAAGCACGCGUCCUGAAU